rnacentral:rRNA from 1 species
UGGGGAAUAUGGCGCAAUGGGCGAAAGCCUGACGCAGCGACGCCGCGGGAGGGAUGAAGGUUUUCGGAUCGUAAACCUCUGUCAGAAGGGAAGAAACGGCACUGUGCUAAUCAGCAGUGCCUUGACGGUACUUUCAAAGGAAGCACCGGCUAACUCCGUGCCAGCAGCCGGGGUAAUACGGAGGGUGCAAGGGUUAAUCGGAAUUACUGGGCGUAAAGCGCACGUAGGCUGCUUUGUAAGUCAGGGGUGAAAUCCCACGGCUCAACCGUGGAACUGCCUUUGAUACUGCUUAGCUUGAAUCCGGGAGAGGGUGGCGGAAUUCCAGGUGUAGGAGUGAAAUCCGUAGAUAUCUGGAGGAACAUCAGUGGCGAAGGCGGCCACCUGGACCGGUAUUGACGCUGAGGUGCGAAAGCGUGGGGAGCAAACAGG